UGCUCUCCUGAUUAGUGGCGCACGGGUGAGUAAUGCAUAGAUAAUGUGCCCCUUAGUUCGGGAUAGCCACUGGAAACGGUGAUUAAUACCGGAUACUCCUUCUUGUUAUAAGACAAGUCGGGAAAGUUUUUCGCUAAGGGAUCAGUCUAUGUUCCAUCAGGUGGUUGGUGAGGUAAUGGCUCACCAAGCCUAUGACGGAUAUCUGGUUUGAGAGGAUGAUCAGACACACUGGAACUGGGACACGGUCCAGACUCCUACGGGAGGCAGCAGUGGGGAAUAUUGCACAAUGGAGGAAACUCUGAUGCAGCAACGCCGCGUGGAGGAUGACGCAUUUCGGUGUGUAAACUCCUUUUAUUAGGGAAGAUAAUGACGGUACCUAAUGAAUAAGCACCGGCUAACUCCGUGCCAGCAGCCGCGGUAAUACGGAGGGUGCAAGCGUUACUCGGAAUCACUGGGCGUAAAGGGUGCGUAGGCUGGCUUCUAAGUCAAUGUGAAAUCCAAUGGCUUAACCAUUGAACUGCAUUUGAAACUGGGAGCCUAGAGUUCAGAAGGGGCAAUGGAAUUAGUGGUGUAGGGGUAAAAAUCCGUAGAUAUCCCUAGGAAUAUCAAAGCGAAGGCGAUCUGCUGGGAUGAUACUGACGCUGAGGCACGAAAGCGUGGGGAGCAACCAGGAUUAGAUACCCUGGUAGUCCACGCCCUAAACGAUGAAUGCUAGUCGUCGGAGAGCUUGUCUCUUCGGUGAUGUACUUAACAGAUUAAGCAUCCGCCUGGGGAGUACGGUCGCAAGAUUAAAACUCAAAGGAAUAGACCGGGGACCCGCACAAGUGGUGGAGCAUGUGGUUUAAUUCGAAGAUACACGAAGAACCUUACCUGGCCUUGACAUGGUAGGAACCCUUAAGAGAUUAGGGGGUGCUAGCUUGCUAGAACCUACACACAGGUGCUGCACGGCUGUCGUCAGCUCGUGUCGUGAGAUGUUGGGUUAAGUCCCGCAACGAGCGCAACCCUCGUCAUUAGUUGCUAACAGUUCGGCUGAGCACUCUAAUGAGACUGCCUUCGUAAGAAGGAGGAAGGUGAGGACGACGUCAAGUCAUCAUGGCCCUUACGGCCAGGGCUACACACGUGCUACAAUGGGGCGUACAGAGGGCUGCAAUACCGCGAGGUGGAGCCAAUCCC
rnacentral:rRNA from 1 species